CCUCUCCUCCAAGCUUGGGCUUGCCAGUAAGACACUCCCCUUCUGCACACUAUAAAGGCAACAGCUGGCUCUGAGCACUUCCUCCUAGGUCAGCUUCAAGUGACUCUGAGGAGUCAGUCCUGGUCAAGAGACUUUUCAUUUCAACUCUGUUGAGGACAUUUAUUCAAGGUUUCAAAUCCUGGAUGCUGAAGUGAACAAACCUGGAGCAUCUCACACUCUGAAACUUGCUAACAGGCUGUAUGGAGAGAAAACCUACAAUUUCCUUCCUGAAAGUGCCUAGCAGUUCACAUUCUGAAACUUCCUGAAGUGACACAGACUUUUCCUGGCACAACCAAGAUGCAGGCCAUUCAUAGAAACAGCAAAGAAUGCAUGUGGAACCUUCAUCUCAUAGUCUUUCUAAUGAGAGGAUACCUCCUGGGGGCUUCAUCCAAGAAAAAUAAGGACUGAAAGGAUGGCCCAGAAAGGAAGAGAGCUUCCUGUGCAAGCAUGAGAAGCUGAGUUUGGAACCCAUGAAAAAUGCCAGGCCUAGCUUCAUACUCCCUUGUAACCCCAACCCUGUGUAGGGGAGCUAUGAGAACCCCUUGGGUUUGUGGACUACCAGGCUAGGCAGAUUCAGUGGGAGAACUUGUUUUAAGGGAAUGAGGCAAAGAGUAUGAGUAAGACACUUGACGUCUUCUCUGGGCUUCAGAAAUGCACAAAUAUGCACACCCAUACACCCAUACACCCAUACACCCUACUCACAUGUCGGACCCUCCUGGGUCCCCUGCAGUGUUUGACCUCAGCUGAAGCCCUGCUGAUGUUUGUAGAAGCCUUUUGUUCCCAACAAAGGAAUGCCCUGGCCCUGUAGCAACACACCUGGGAGGUACACCUGGGCAAUAAUCCGUUCCUGUCUUUUGUUCUUCGGUCUUUGUUCCUGAGGGCUUAAGCCGGGUUUCCCACUGUGCUUCCUGGAAUUCUCCACCCAGUGAACUUGGGGUAUAUAUUCCGUGAGUAAAUAAAACAAAAGAUUUGGUAUUCUCGUGACACCAAUGACCAGUAGGUGUUUUUUCUUAAACCCCACAGGCUUACACCCGGCUCUCGGUGCCUUGUCAGUGCAGGCACCAUCACUCACGUACACCCUCUACACACACAUACACACACACACACACACACACACACACACACACAUUCACACACACACGCCAAAAGUGUGUCUGAAAAGCCACUCGGAGUACAAUCAACAUUUGCUCAUUUAUGCAAAUAUUAAUGCAAAAUUUAAAAAGAAUUAGUAGCCUUUGUAUUAACAGCCAAAAUGUUAUAUAAAAGACUAUACUCACCAGUACUGCAUUUUAACCUUUAAAAAUGAUCAGGGGGCUGGAGAGAUGGCUCAGUGGUUAAGAGCACCGACUGCUCUUCCAGAGGUCCUGAGUUCAGUUCCCAGCAACCACAUGGUGGCUCAAAACCAUCUGUAAUGGGAUCUGAUGCCCUCUUCUGGUGUAUCUGAAGACAGGUACAAUGUACUUGUAUAUGAUAAAUAAAUAAAUCUUUAAAAAAAAAUGAUCAGGACACAGCACAUGGGAGGUAGAGUUAGGAAAACCUCUGUGAGUUUGAGGCCAGCCUGGCCUACUUCUCCCUUUUCC
ensembl:lncRNA LOC102555109 uncharacterized LOC102555109